UCUCGACUUGUAUUAAGGCGAUGGGCUUGUGCUUCUUGUUCCUGUUUAAGAUUCGGCGGCUUCAUCGCUUUGAUCCUCUCAUUUGAACCAAUAAUAUAUUUGCUCGUGAAUUGUGUUUUUGGCUACCGAGUUAUGCGUCUUGAUUCUAUUAUAAGGGCGAUAGGGUUUCCUGUAAGGCAGCAAUGCUGAGAUUAUAACCAGAUGGAAUUUUGCUUCAACAAACGCUACCUUGGUUUUUUAGUAGUAGAUUAUAUAUUCGAGGAGUACCUCAGCAAUUAAUGAUUUGGGAUAAAGAUGAAGGAUUUUGGAAGAAUUAGGGCGGAGUCAUGAAGCCAAAAACUGAAUAGUAAGACUAUUAAGCGAAUUUAUCUCUCUGAUCAAAAAGUAUUUCAUCGUACAAGCCUGCAGAUCAAUCAAAACAAAUAUCGGUUAGCAAACUACAUGGUUACGUUCAAUCCUGAGCCAAGAAGAGACAUGUAUCUACUGUCCUGCAUUGUUUUGGAAACUUUUCUCACCUUUGUGCCUAUGCUGACAAGAAAAAAAGAUUCUAGUUCUUUGACCCCUAAAGUCUCAACGAUUUAUGGAGUGGUCGGGAUUAUAAAGUUGCCUGCAGGAACUUAUGUGCUACUUAUUACUUCUCGAGAGGAAGUUGGUUCUUGUCUUGGUUUCUCUAUAUUCCAUGUGAUGUCAAUGAGAUUUUUGUCCUGCAAUGGGUCUCUAAAGCAUUCAAAAUCGCAGGAAAAAAGAGAUGAAGCUUACUUCAUGUCUCUUCUGAGAACCCUAGAAUCAACCCCUGGUUUAUAUUAUUCAUAUGAAAGGGAUUUAACACUGAACUUACAGAGGACAUGCAAGUUGACUGAAGAAAGGAUGCACAAGCCUCUAUGGAAACAGGCCGACCCACGCUUUGUGUGGAAUCAUAAUUUGAUGGAGGAUCUUAUUGAGAAUAAGCUUGAUGCCUUUACCAUUCCUGUGAUACAAGGAAGCUUUCAGUCUGUACAGUUCGCCUUAAAAGAUUCACCUGCCAGAAUUACAUUGAUCUCAAGAAGGUGCAAUCGUCGUCUAGGAACUAGGAUGUGGAGAAGAGGAGCAAAUCUGGAAGGUUCCACUGCUAAUUUUAUUGAGACUGAACAAAUUCUGGAGUUUGAAGGUUACAGAUCAUCAUUUAUACAGAUUCGGGGUUCUAUUCCACUUCUUUGGGAGCAAAUUGUGGACUUAAGCUACAAACCACGGCUCAAUAUUAUUAACCAUGAUGAAACGCCAAAGGUUGUUGAGCGCCAUUUUCGAGAUCUUAUACAGAGGUAUGGGGAGACGGUUGCUGUUGACUUAACUGAUAAAGAAGGUGAUGAAGGCCGGCUGAGUGAUGCAUUUGCUGCUGAGAUGGAAAAACUUCCAUAUGUUAGAUACGUGCGUUUUGAUUUCCACAAUGCAUGUGGCAAAGGGAUUUUUGAUAACUUGCAACUACUUUAUGAUCAAAUCAAAGAAAAUGUGGAAAACCAAGGAUAUCUUUUGAUCAACACUGAUGGAGAAAUACUAAUACAGCAGAAUGGAAUUGUCAGGGUUAAUUGCAUUGAUUGCCUGGAUCGGACAAAUGUUACCCAGAGUUAUGUGGCUAGGAAAUUAUUGAAUUUACUACUGCAGCAAGUGGGAACAUUUUCAUCAAAUGAAUGUAUAUCCAUGUAUACUGACAUCUAUGAGAAGUUCAAGAACUUGUGGGCGGAACAUGGAGAUGAGAUAAGCUUGGAAUAUGCUGGUACUCAUGCUCUGAAAGGGGACCUAGUACGAUAUGGGAGACAGACUGUAUCUGGAAUAAUAAAGGAUGGAAUAAGUGCUCUCACACGAUAUUAUUUAAAUAACUUUCAAGAUGGCAUUCGACAAGAUGCGUUGGAUCUUAUUAGUGGUCGCUACACUGUCAGCAGAAGUGGUCCUCCUUUCCGGCUGAAUCGGUUUGAAUCAUCAUCAUAUCUCCCGGUGGCCUCAGCUCUCAUCGUGGGAGGUCUCACAAUGACAACAACACUUACAUUAAAUCAAGGCGGAAAUAGCACACAUGUUGUUUCUUCUGUACUCUUGGCUGGCUUGUCUGCAGGAGUGGUGCCUCUUGUUAAAGCUAAUUGGAAGCAGUUCUGCUCCAGGCCACGCUUGUGUGGCCUCUUGUAAGAUUGUGUUUUAUAUUGAUAUUUUAUUAAUUUUGGAUGUGCUGUGCAAGCUCAAUUUCAUUUGCUAUAUGUAACUAUGAAACGAUUUGUUUGUCAUUUAAUCUAAAUUGAUUCCAUAAGUUUCUUAUCAUAAUGAAUAUCCACAAGUCUCAGCUUCUUGCCAGAUAUGGUUCAUUGGAUUCCAUGCUCUGCGAUUAGCUCACUGCAUGAGAUUUUCAUUGCUUGGAGCAUGAUUAUACAAAAAGAGGAAAAGUUGUUCUUUCAGGUCAGAGCAACAGAUUGGUUAUAAUAUCCAACAAUGAAUUAAUGAGAUGUUAUUGGAAAUGAAAAUUUGGAGUGUUUUUAAGAAAUUAUAUCUGAAAUUUAUGCAAUGUUGCCAAAUUGUAUAUUCAGGUUGCAAAAAUAGCUAGACGUGCCUAAAAAUUUUCUUUUCUAGCAAGUUUAUGUGAUGGUAACUGCGAAAAUGUAUGCCAUGUCGUGAUGAGCAAUUUUAGACCUGCAAAUUAGAACAAGAUACAUGGUUCUUAUUGGCAAUAAGCAUGAUCAUGUCUGUUGCAGUGACAACUGAGCACCUUGUUCUUGCUUAGGAUGGAAUGGUUGAAUUCUUCAAUGCUGGUUGCUGGGUUAGGCAUGCUACAAGUAUUCCUCUCCAUGACGAAAAAUUCAGCAACAUUAUCAUUGUCUUCAGGAGAACAAUUAUAGCAGAUUCACCACAUGAUGGUUGUUGCAACCAGACCUGUGAGACCAAUUGUUUAUUUCACUUUGGUCUUUCAUAUCUCCUGUGCAUAUCAAUUUCAGCUGGUUGAGUUGCCCACUAAGUGAGCCUGAGUGGAGUUAUCACUAAUUAGAAUUCCAGUCUUGGGAGAGGAUAAACUGCACCGGAACCACUAAGUUGGCUACCCAGACUUUUUCCCUCACACUAGUGGUUAUUCAGUCUUAUUUGACCCUCCAGUUGUGUGUGUGUGUAGGGGAUAUCAGCCUGGGACUUGCUGUGUGUGCUGUGCAAUAGAUCUUGUGCAUCUUUUAUAAGCAUUACGUUACCAGAGGCAACAAUUCAGUGUUGUUCAUCCUGGGAAUGUGCUGAUGGAUUUUGACCCCCACCUUGUAAAUAUUACAGUAUGCUCAUAUCUUCUUUUUGCCUCCUUUCUUAGAUGUCAGCUGAAAGUCCAUGCUGUGUGUGCCAACUUUUACCUGAGCUUUGUUUUGGAUGAUGAGUUCUCCUUCAGUGAAUUCUGACUGACGUAUCAUCUU